AUUGAACGCUGGCGGCAUGCCUUACACAUGCAAGUCGAACGGCAGCACGGGUGCUUGCACCUGGUGGCGAGUGGCGAACGGGUGAGUAAUAUAUCGGAACGUGCCCUAGAGUGGGGGAUAACGUAGCGAAAGUUACGCUAAUACCGCAUACGAUCUACGGAUGAAAGUGGGGGAUCGCAAGACCUCAUGCUCCUGGAGCGGCCGAUAUCUGAUUAGCUAGUUGGUGGGGUAAAAGCCUACCAAGGCGACGAUCAGUAGCUGGU
rnacentral:rRNA from 1 species